CCACCCACUAUAAAAGCUGAGAGGGGCCCCUGUACUCUUUCUCUUCUGCUGAGGCUGAAGACACGCCCCUUCCGGCUGCUCGCCCUGCUGCUCUCACCGGCGUUCAAAACAUUCGGCAUGUUACUCUGCUUGGUGUUGUGUAGCCACAUUUGUGUUGCCAAAGGAAGCCAUAGCGGCUGGAUCGGCUUCUGACGUGCUCUCCAUGUCCUGUGUGUGUGUGCGCGUCACGCUGCUGUACAGAGAGGCUGUGUACCUGUGGUCGGGACGUGGUGUCGUCGGUGGUGGUCUCCUUCCCGUGUGAUGUGUGAACCCUGGUUUU